GAACGCUGGCGGCAUGCCUUACACAUGCAAGUCGAACGGCAGCGCGGGAGCAAUCCCGGCGGCGAGUGGCGAACGGGUGAGUAAUAUAUCGGAACGUGCCCAGUAGUGGGGGAUAGCCCGGCGAAAGCCGGAUUAAUACCGCAUGAGACCUGAGGGUGAAAGCGGGGGACUCGCAAGAGCCUCGCGCUACUGGAGCGGCCGAUAUCAGAUUAGCUAGUUGGUGGGGUAAAAGCCUACCAAGGCAACGAUCUGUAGUUGGUCUGAGAGGACGACCAGCCACACUGGGACUGAGACACGGCCCAGACUCCUACGGGAGGCAGCAGUGGGGAAUUUUGGACAAUGGGCGCAAGCCUGAUCCAGCAAUGCCGCGUGCAGGAAGAAGGCC
rnacentral:rRNA from 1 species